ACGCUCCCGGCGGCAUCUUGGCGACCUUAGGGGUGCCGCGGCGGGGCGGGGUCGUGAGUUUGGCCGGCGUUGUCGAGGUUGUCGGAGCAAACUGGUGUGGGAAUGAAGGAGAUGGUCCAGUGCUUGAGGCAUGGAAUUGAAGUGGGUUAUGAACUCCCAACAGACUUGACAUCUUAAAAUGCAGCCGCAGCUCAAGCGUUCGCACCUAGAGCUGCUGAGAUCCUCGUGCCGCCCGCGAUUCUGCCUAGAGACACUGGUUCCUCCAAGCUCAUCUCGCGGCCCCCUUCCAAACCCUUGCGUCCUAGCCAGUUUCUCCUGCCCUCCUCUGUCCAUCUUUUGCUAAUUAUUCGCACUGCCUUCUUAAAGGCGUGACGGUAAGGAUUUACGUCCUAUUCAUCCAUACUUCGUAUCUGUUCACUGUACCUGGUGAAUAUUCGCUAAAUUGACCUUUAUGUAAUAAGAUGGUAUCCAAUUCAGUAGUUUGGGUUAUAGAAUAGGAUUUGACUUGCAAUCUUUUUGAAACAGCCUUGCUUUUGAAAGUCGCUUAACAUAAGUUGACUGGAAAUACAUGUGAUCUUUUUUUGCCCUGUCCAAUAACUAUGAAGAACUCACGCAAUAUUCAACUGCUUGACCCUGCUUUUGAUUACUGUGCUUCCUAUUUUGGUUUCCGGUAGUGUUGGUAUCCUUUUUAUUUAAAAUAUAAAAUGAUCCACAUAAGCAGUUGGUGCAACUUAUGCACCUUGCAUGUAUCCUACAUCAGAUCUAUUGAAAAACUCUUCAGUUUUCCUCAGAAUGUCUCCCUAUCCCAUUCCUUCUCUAUGGUGUGUCCCUAACGUUCCAAGAAUUGUCUCUACCUAAAACACUGUAGUCUCAUCCUAUCUGGUCCUGGGGACUUCCAGCCUCCACACUAGCCUAUGUCUGAUUGCCAGGUAAAUCGCCAUUUUGGGGUCAUUUACUGUCUGCAGAUACCACAACUUUCACGUGCUGAUACACUGCCAUUAUACACUGGUUCUCCCAGACCAAGCAGUUCACUUAAAAUUGCACUUGAUUUUAUGCCUUACCAUAAUUGCACAACUAAGCCAUGAAACUGUACCAUUGAAACAUUAUCUUAUGAGUGCAUAACCCUUCACCUGAUGUUAGUCCCAAAUCCCUAGAUGACAGGUUAAAACUAGAAAAAAAGGACUCAGAAAUGAAAGACCAGGCAUAUGCCUGUAAUUCCAGGAAGAGGCAGAGGCAGGAGGAUUGCAAGUUUAAGUGCUUCAGCAACUUAAGCCCUAAACAAUUUAUGGGGAACUUGUCUUAAAAAGGUCUGGGAUUGGGGCUGGGGCUGGAAUAUAGCUCAGGUGGUAGACUGCUUCACAUGUACAAGGCUCUAGGAAAAAUAAGGUCUGAGAUUUAGCUCAGUUGCAAAAUGUCCCUGGGUUAAAUAAAUCCUUGGUCCCUGAGUACCACCCAUCCUUGCAAAAAAAAAAAAAAAAUAAAUAAAAAA